GGUUUAAUUCGAAGCAACGCGCAGAACCUUACCAGCCCUUGACAUCCCGGUUUCGGGAUCGAGAGAUCGAUCCUUUCAGUUCGGCUGGACCGGAGACAGGUGCUGCAUGGCUGUCGUCAGCUCGUGUCGUGAGAUGUUGGGUUAAGUCCCGCAACGAGCGCAACCCUCGCCCCUAGUUGCCAGCAUUUGGUUGGGCACUCUAGGGGGACUGCCGGUGAUAAGCCGAGA
rnacentral:rRNA from 1 species